rnacentral:rRNA from 1 species
UGAACGCUGGCGGCGUGCUUAACACAUGCAAGUCGAACGGAGUUUUAAACGGAAGUUUCGGGUGGAAGUUUAGAAACUAGUGGCGGACGGGUGAGUAACGCGUGGGUAACCUGCCUCAUACAGGGGGAUAACAGUUAGAAAUGACUGCUAACACCGCAUAAUAUAGCGAAACCGCAUGAUUUUGCUAUCAAAUAUUUAUAGGUAUGAGAUGGGCCCGCGUCUGAUUAGCUAGUUGGUGGGGUAAAAGCCUACCAAGGCGACGAUCAGUAGCCGGCUUGAGAGAGUGACCGGCCACAUUGGGACUGAGACACGGCCCAAACUCCUACGGGAGGCAGCAGUGGGGAAUAUUGGACAAUGGGGGAAACCCUGAUCCAGCCGACGCCGCGUGAGUGAAGAAGUAUUUCGGUAUGUAAAGCUCUAUCAGCAGGGAAGAUAAUGACAGUACCUGACUAAGAAGCCCCGGCUAACUACGUGCCAGCCGCCGC